CUGUUUCCGAGCAUAUUGUCACGUGAUAGCAUCGCAGUACUGUACGUUGUGUAUGGUUGUAAAGAUUACUAUCCUGUUCUUUGCUAAAGCCAGAGAACUGGUAGGAUCAAACAGCUACGAUCUGGACGUACGAAGCACGCUAUCUGGAGCUGAUCUACGUGACUGUCUUGUCUCUGCCUUUCCUAGUUUGCAGGCAAUUAGUAAGACUUGCAUAUUUUCUUUGAAUGAAGAGUACGUUGAUGAUUCAUCUCUACUAACACUUGAAGACCGGGAUAUAGUUGCUGUAAUUCCUCCAAUAAGUGGUGGGUAGACACUGCGCAAUGGCACUAGACAAAAGAGAAGAAGACACAUGGGUGCUAUUGACAGAUGAACAACUGAGCAUUAAUGAUGCCACAUCAUUUGUAGUUUGCUCAUCUACUGGUGCAGUGUCUGUAUUUGUUGGGACCACAAGAGACCUUUUUGAAGGGAAAAAAGUUGUCAAGUUGCAGUAUGAAGCAUAUACACCUAUGGCAGUGAAGAAAAUUAAGAAAGUAUGUCAAGACAUUCGAGUAAAGUGGCCUGUUCAUAGGAUAGCAGUGCUUCAUCGGUUGGGAGUUGUUUCUGUGAGUGAAGCAAGUGUCAUUAUUGCAAUAUCAUCAAUUCAUCGUCAAGAAGCCAUUGAAGCUGUUCAUUAUUGCAUUGAUAUGUUGAAGGCACAAGUACCAAUAUGGAAAAAGGAAUUAUAUGAAGAUGGUAACGAAACGUGGAAAGAAAACAAGGAAUGUUGGUGGGCUGUAUCUUCAACAUAACUCGUUUGUAAGUAGUCUUGUACUGUGAUUGUUACUAAGAUUGUUGAUUGUUACUAAGUAACAAUCUGAUGAUUGCAGCAUUUUCAGAAUUCCUAGCUGUACGACUUGUUAGCCUCAAGAUAGCAAUCUUAGUGCUACUUGUAGCUGUCUUCUUUGGAGUAUUGCAGAGAUUACAAAAUUUGUUUGUAUGAGCAGAUGUGGUACACUGGCUUAUUAAGAGUGUAAUUUGUAAUGCCUGUCCUGACUAUGAGGAGACAGCUCAAAUACAGACAAUUUCAAUGCCAACUCUUAUUCAACGUAUGUUUUUCAGGCUGUUAUAGUUCUUUUAGUUCACUUUAACAUGAAGUGUUGGUGAACUGUUGAUGGUACUGUUG